GAACAGAAGGGACGAGAAUCUGUUGCCCGAGGACCGAGGACGUCACUCCGCCACCAGAGACAUCAGUCAGGACAGUGUCCAGAUGAGAGGAAAGGUGAUGGAACAUGAAACAUGACGCUGAAGACAAAUGGCUCACAGGUCGGCAGUGACGGGACGUUGAGCGGGGCUGGAUGGACUUCCUGCAAAGGUCACCGAAGUCAGUGUGCCCUCUCAGGCCGCGGCUGCGACCUCUAGGAAGAGCUGAACCACAAACAGACAAACUCGAUGAUGCUCCACACUUCACAAUAGGUGACAAAGACAUUUUGACCCCAGCAGCGUGUGUCUACACUGCGCUUUCAUCAAAGGGGCCGGGCGACCAGCAGGUGAGCUUCUGAAAAGCCACUUUCUAAAAUAAAUGAGAGUAUUGUAAAGAUUCAAGUGAGAGAACAGACACACACACACACACAGGCUGAGUGACUGUAGUGCCCUUUGUGUUGGGGCGAUCAAAUGAGACCACCGUCAGUGUCCCUCUUGUAUCACUACAAAAGGGGAGCCAAAAUAAGUUCCACUAUGUUAAUUGGGGCUUUGGAGACAUCGUAGGCCAAUACUUCAGUGGGGAGAAGUUGGCUCACAGCACUUUUGAGCAUUACAGACUUUGACGCUCUGAUCAGAGAGCAAUGCAUUGUGGGUGUUUGGCGGAAGGAUCUGCACCGUGCCUCUGCUUUUGGCAGGGGACGCAGUCCUCCCUUGAGUCGCCCCGCAAUACCACCAGCACCACCAACUACCAGUGUGGGAACAGGAUGAAAUCGCUCCGAAACGUGCUCCGCUGAGGGGCUUUACGGUGGCGCGAGGAACACACACACACAGCGGACACCUUUGGGAUCCAUCCCAGUUGGCCCGGUACACGUAUUCUGUUGAACUGUGGGCCUUGUGGGCCGCUGCCGAAAUGUAGACAGCCGAGCGGUGCCUCUCUGCUACGUCUGGGGCACGCGUGUGAUCACGUGACCUCGGUGGAGCUUCCCCACCGUGCAGCCUGGAGCAACUUUACACCUCAGAAUGUCUUUCUUUCUGCACUUACUCAAGAGGGCAAUGCUCAGUCUUGUGACUGUAAAGAUUAUUUAUCUUAUUUUAGUGUCAAUUUAUGGAUAAAAAAGGACAAUUUUAAGUGCAAACACGUUGAUCACUACAGAGGACUUUCAGUGGAGGUAUUUCAUCUGCAAUUGUGCAUCAGAAAAAAGUAAGUAUGUAAAGUAAUGUGAAGUAGAGCAAGAGAUUUUAAUUUCUCAAACUCAUUUCAAAAUUGCUUUCAGUUACAGAUACUUUUAUGGAAAAGAUGCAUUUACUGCUGUGAUAAGGUUUUAAUAAAUUCACUAUCAAGCUCCGGUGUGUAAGAAUGUUUUACCUUGUUUAAACCAAUUCAAUAAAGCGGAAGUGAGAGAGACACAGACAAAUACAAAAAAACGUAAUUGGCUGUGUGAACCUACUCUCACGCUUUGUGUCUUUUAUUUUUCAAAGAACUGCAACAUACAUGUUCUUAACAUGCUAAUCUGUAAGAGCUGAGGUGAGAGUGAGGAGGUCUGUCUUCUGUCUUCUGCACACCCAGCCAAAAUGUCAGGGGCUCAAAGGAAUAGUUCUACACAUAAUUAUACAGGCCGAAAUGAGUAGUUUGACAUUUUUGACUGAUUUGCUUUCAUGCUGGAAGAGAUGAGCAGAUUGAUUCCACUUUCAUAUCUGACCUUUGAAUGGGAAGCUACUGCGAGGCAAAUGUAUCUACUGAAACAAAGACACGCAAAUAAGCAGUGAAAAGCAUUGUCUGAAACUAAAUAAGAACAAUCCUUUGAGAAGGACGCAAAUUUACUUGAAACAAUAAUGCCUGAUUCAAAAAUGAAAAUGAAAUUAAACAAAUAUAUUUAUGCUGUAAUAUUAUCUGAGCAUAGUAUGAAAGUUGAUUAAAUGACAAACUGUCCGAACUUGCACAUAGCCAAACAUUACACCACAUAUUGUUGUUAUUGCACAUGAGGGAUAAAGGUGCUUUGCGUUAUAGCGUAGAUUUGUUUUGGAGAUACAGCUUGGCUCUCUUUUCAGUCCGUUUAGUAAACUAAGUUAACCGUCUCCUGAAUAUAGCUUCGCAUAGCAAUCUUAUCAUCUAAUUGUCACAAAUUCGGAAUAUUUCCUCAAUAUAAUUUCCUCUGAAGAUCAAACAUUUCCUGGAAAUAUUAGUUUUUUGGUAUCAGAUUUUCUCCUUUCACUGUUCAGUGUUUUUUUUUAUUUAUCAUUUGUUUUUUUGCAGGUUGUUGAUUUUUAAAAUUGUUUGCUUGCGCUUAACAAUGCGUUUUACAUUUUAAAGUUGAAAUUGUAGGUUACAUUAGGAAUUAUGAAAAGGUCUUCAGGUUAAAAACGUCCUUCCAACUGUCCACAUUGCAGAGAUGUUGCAAAUGUGUUUUCAGUUUAUUGUCCCUUCCGUUGAGUUUUAUUACGGCUGGUGUUUGUACGAUGGCCCUAAAGUAACAUUGGAAACCCUCAACAACAAACUCUCAACAAGACUGCACUUUUCGUUUUGUAAGCCUGUUGUCGUCUGGCGCCUGCUGUCAUUACCAACCUGAGUGCACUCUGUGUCUGCUCCCAGCAAAUGGUCCACUAAGUGAUGGAAACACGAACAUGCUAGUUUAUUAAGCGAGUCCAGUCCACUGCCGACUGUCACUGCUGCUUUACGAGCUCGACCCCUCGUAGACGCCGGAAUGAAGUUCAGCACAAAAUGCGUCCUUUGACUGCAGCUCUGCGAUUGGCCACGAUUGAUAGAAGCAAUGCGAGGAUCCUACUGUAAACAAUUGUUCAUGAAAGUCUUCUUUUGAACCCCCCAACCGUCGAGCCAACGAGCAUUGUUCAUCUGUUUUGGCAAAAAGGGGGAGAACGAUCCCAUCGAAAUACCCACCCUUGAUUCUUGCAUUCGUUUGCUCCAUGAAACCCAGUCCACACGAGCCUGUCACACAGGACGGCUUUUAUCUACCUCAAUAUCCAUUGAUCUAAGUAUUUGAAAACACAAAGUGGGUCAGGAUCCAGGCGAGUCCCCAGAAUUGUUUAACUAUGCAAAGCAGCGCAGGGUUCUAACUCCGAACACGUAGCAUUUCCCCCCUGAGCCAGCGACGGGUACCUGAGCAAACUCAGCUCUGUUUAGACAGCUGCUGGAUGAGCCAGAAUAGGAAAUGAGGGUUUAUAAUCUGGCAAAUCUAAAAGCGCCUCUCCGCCGGCGUUCAAUGCAACGGCGUCCUUGACGUGUUUUGAUGGUUUUUCUUGUUGUUCCCGUUGCGACAGCAGGCCCGGGAUCCCAGCCAGGUGAUAGAAGGUGAGGACGUAGAACUUGAGCUGCAGUUUUGUUGGAAGUUAAAUGCUACCGUGGAGACAUUACUCGCCUGUAUCUGAUGUUGUGCAAAAAAGCCGGCUCAUUAGAGCCAUUUUUGGAGAGAGGAUGAGUUCUGACAUGUUUUGUUGCUUUGUAGAUGGUGAUGGUGUUGAUUUUCUGCUGAUGAAAACAUCUGCAUUAAAAUAAAGCUGCUUCGACACACA